rnacentral:rRNA from 1 species
UAAUACGUAGGGUGCGAGCGUUGUCCGGAAUUAUUGGGCGUAAAGAGCUUGUAGGCGGUUUGUCGCGUCUGCUGUGAAAAUCCGGGGCUCAACCCCGGACUUGCAGUGGGUACGGGCAGACUAGAGUGUGGUAGGGGAGACUGGAAUUCCUGGUGUAGCGGUGAAAUGCGCAGAUAUCAGGAGGAACACCGAUGGCGAAGGCAGGUCUCUGGGCCACUACUGACGCUGAGGAGCGAAAGCGUGGGGAGCGAACA